AGCCUAGAAAAAACAAGUCACUUCAGACACAGAAGCUUAAAAAUGAAAGUUUUAUUUUCUGAACACAUAAGGAAGGCAGGAAAUUCAGGAUCUGAACCCCAUCCCCAAAUGGAGAUUUUAUAACAUUUUUAAUAACAUUUUAUAACAUUUUUUAUAGGAUGGGAACAAAAAGCAAAGGGAGCAGGUAGGCUGUUGCAUUGAAUACUUAACGUUGGUGACUGGGUCUUAUCUGGGUCACCUUGUUUUGAGAUCCUUGAGUCGGCUUUUGCAGCCACAUCCCUCCUGGACUCUGCUCUGGAAUUUUGGAAUAAGGGAACAAAGCCUGGCCAAGCUGCACACAGUCAAUUAAGUCAGGACAGGCAGCACAUUCAAGAC
rnacentral:lncRNA from 1 species